GAGCUAAUAUCUCUGUAUAAAGUAAGCCAACUGUAUUGGUUUAAAAUGGGGAAAAUAGUAACCCUAAUUUACCAUCUCGAAACAACCAACUGUCUUCAUAUUACAGGAGGUAGCAGCUACACUCCCCUAGAUGCACACUUACCUCUCGUGAAUUCCCUCUAGAUUACUGCAGUUGCUUAGAGUGUUUAUCAGGCACACAGUAGGCAGCUGGUGGCUCAGCUGCAGCCUCCUUGAAGCACCGCCGCAGCCAAGUAAGAAGCCAGCAUGAUAAGAGGAGACAUUUUUAUAAACUAGGCCGAAACAGCAGAGAGCACACCUGCGUGUCACAUACCCCCAGCACUUGAAUGAAGCAUCUUGCUACCUGAAUAAUGCUAUUUCCUUUCUUGAGGAUAAAAACAAGGCUGGUCACCUUCUUCAGGACAUGAUGACUAUCUCCAGUGAUAGACAUAUUCCAGAUAUAACUCCAGAUAUCAUCUUCUAGCAAUAAGCUCCCAUGAACAGAC